GACGAACGCUGGCGGCGUGCUUAACACAUGCAAGUCGAACGGAAAGGCCCUGCUUUUGUGGGGUGCUCGAGUGGCGAACGGGUGAGUAACACGUGAGUAACCUGCCCUUGACUUUGGGAUAACUUCAGGAAACUGGGGCUAAUACCGGAUAGGAGCUCCUGCUGCAUGGUGGGGGUUGGAAAGUUUCGGCGGUUGGGGAUGGACUCGCGGCUUAUCAGCUUGUUGGUGGGGUAGUGGCUUACCAAGGCUUUGACGGGUAGCCGGCCUGAGAGGGUGACCGGCCACAUUGGGACUGAGAGACGGCCCAGACUCCUACGGGAGGCAGAAGUGGGGAAUAUGGCACAAUGGGCGGAAGCCUGAUGCAGGAACGCCGCGUGCGGGAUGACGGCCUUCGGGUUGUAAACCGCUUUCGCCUGUGACGAAGCGUGAGUGACGGUAAUGGGUAAAGAAGCACCGGCUAACUACGU
rnacentral:rRNA from 1 species